CAAUAGCGUAUAUUAAAGUUGUUGCAGUUAAAAAGCUCAUAGUUGGAUUUCUGGUAGGAGUGACCGUUCCGAACUUGAUUGUUCGUGUAUUGUGUUUUCUCCAGCCAUCCUUGUGGAGAACUUUUCUUGCAUUAAUUUGUAGGGAUUGGGACCCGCAUCGUUUACUGUGAAAAAAUUAGAGUGUUUAAAGCAGGCAAUCGCUUGAAUACAUUAGCAUGGAAUAAUAGGAUAGGACUUUGGUACUAUUUUGUUGGUUUGCAUACCAAAUUAAUGAUCAACAGGAACAGUUUGAGGAUAUUCGUAUGAACAUGUCAGAGGUGAAAUUCUUGGAUUUUGAUCAGACGAACUACUGCGAAAGCAUUUAUCAAGGAUGUUUUCAUUAA
rnacentral:rRNA from 1 species